AAGCCCUUCGGGGUGGAUUAGUGGCGAACGGGUGAGUAACACGUGGGCAAUCUGCCCUUCACUCUGGGACAAGCCCUGGAAACGGGGUCUAAUACCGGAUAACAUUCCUGCCUGCAUGGGCGGGGAUUAAAAGCUCCGGCGGUGAAGGAUGAGCCCGCGGCCUAUCAGCUUGUUGGUGGGGUAAUGGCCUACCAAGGCGACGACGGGUAGCCGGCCUGAGAGGGCGACCGGCCACACUGGGACUGAGACACGGCCCAGACUCCUACGGGAGGCAGCAGUGGGGAAUAUUGCACAAUGGGCGAAAGCCUGAUGCAGCGGACGGCCGUCGUGAGGGGAUGACGGCCUUUCAGGGUUGUAUACCUCUUUCCAGCAGAGAAGAAGGCGAAAAGUGACGGUACCUGCAGAAGAAGCGCCGGCUAACUACGUGCCAGCAGCCGCGGUAAUACGUAAGGGCGCAAGCGUUGUCCGGAAUUAUUGGGCGUAAAGAGCUCGUAGGCGGCUUGUCACGUCGGGUGUGAAAGCCCGGGGCUUAACCCCGGGUCUGCAUUCGAUACGGGCUAGCUAGAGUGUGGUAGGGGAGAUCGGAAUUCCUGGUGUAGCGGUGAAAUGCGCAGAUAUCAGGAGGAACACCGGUGGCGAAGGCGGAUCUCUGGGCCAUUACUGACGCUGAGGAGCGAAAGCGUGGGGAGCGAACAGGAUUAGAUACCCUGGUAGUCCACGCCGUAAACGUUGGGAACUAGGUGUUGGCGACAUUCCACGUCGUCGGUGCCGCAGCUAACGCAUUAAGUUCCCCGCCUGGGGAGUACGGCCGCAAGGCUAAAACUCAAAGGAAUUGACGGGGGCCCGCACAAGCGGCGGAGCAUGUGGCUUAAUUCGACGCAACGCGAAGAACCUUACCAAAGGCUUGACAUACACCGGAAAGCAUUAGAGAUAGUGCCCCCCUUGUGGUCGGUGUACAGGUGGUGCAUGGGCUGUCGUCAGCUCGUGUCGUGAGAUGUUGGGUUAAGUCCCCGCAACGAGCGCAACCCUUGUCCUGUGUUGCCAGCAUGCCCUUCGGGGUGAUGGGGACUCACAGGAGACCGCCGGGGUCAACUCGGAGGAAGGUGGGGACGACGUCAAGUCAUCAUGCCCCUUAUGUCUUGGGCUGCACACGUGCUACAAUGGCCGGUACAAAGAGCUGCGAAACCGUGAGGUGGAGCGAAUCUCAAAAAGCCGGUCUCAGUUCGGAUUGGGGUCUGCAACUCGACCCCAUGAAGUCGGAGUCGCUAGUAAUCGCAGAUCAGCAUUGCUGCGGUGAAUACGUUCCCGGGCCUUGUACACACCGCCCGUCACGUCACGAAAGUCGGUAACACCCGAAGCCGGUGGCCCAACCCCUUGUGGGAGGGAGCUGUCGAA
rnacentral:rRNA from 1 species